UCAUAUCCAGAUGGCCUGGAAUUUCCCUAUGCACAGCCUCCUGGAUGCUCCGGCUCUCCAGGAAGGAAGUCGUUUACUCCAGGUCCCUAACCAGCCCCUCUGUUUCAGGUGUCACUGCUACAGGAGGUCCUCAGACAAUACGCUUGCUCAGGAAUAACACCAAAUGUCAGAGUGGAUCUCCAUUCCUUUGGCAGCGCUGCUAGAAUGUUGUGCCAGAAGAGCCCUUAGAGACCAAUCAGUCCAGGUCUCCCUUUUGCACUUCCGGAAACUGAGACCCAGAGAGAUGAAGAAAGCAGAAAAUUCAGAAACAAGAGAUGGACUUGCAGGUCCCCAGCGCUGGUUCCUUUAAAGGAUUUGAAAGGCAAAAGCUCAUGCUGUACAUCAUAUAAUAGCUGCUAGGGGAAUGGAUCAGACAAUUUGCAGAUAGACAUAUACUACGGUGGUCAAGAACACAGAUUUUGAAGCCAGACAGCACUGGUUUGUUUCUGGAUUACACAAUUACUAGCUAUUAGACAUCAGGCAACCUCUCUAGGCCUCAAUUUCUUUAUCUGUAAUGUGGUGUGUUGUAAGAAUUAAGUUAGUUGUACAUGUACAACUCUUACAACAAUGCUUGGCACAUAUAAGCAUUUAUUCAUUUAGUCAUAGUUAUUCUUGUUAGUAGUAGGUAUCAUUAUUAUUAUAAUUUUAAAAUUGCAUGUCUAUCUUC